CCUACGGGAGCCUGCAGUGGGGAAUAUUGCACAAUGGGCGCAAGCCUGAUGCAGCCAUGCCGCGUGUGUGAAGAAGGCCUUCGGGUUGUAAAGCACUUUCAGCGGGGAGGAAGGCGGUGAGGUUAAUAACCUCAUCGAUUGACGUUACCCGCAGAAGAAGCACCGGCUAACUCCGGGCCAGCAGCCGCGGUAAUACGGAGGGUGCAAGCGUUAAUCGGAAUUACUGGGCGUAAAGCGCACGCAGGCGGGCUGUCAAGUCGGAUGUGAAAUCCCCGGGCUCAACCUGGGAACUGCAUUCGAAACUGGCAGGCUAGAGUCUUGUAGAGGGGGGUAGAAUUCCAGGUGUAGCGGUGAAAUGCGUAGAGAUCUGGAGGAAUACCGGUGGCGAAGGCGGCCCCCUGGACAAAGACUGACGCUCAGGUGCGAAAGCGUGGGGAGCAAACAGGAUUAGAUACCCUUGUAGUC
rnacentral:rRNA from 1 species